GUUGCAUGGAAAAACUGUUGGCCAUUGUUGACCUAGCCUACAUACCCCACCAGGUCCAACCCACAUUACACCCAUCUAGGUAUGGAUAGCCAUUCUCAACUCACUAGCAGGUUGGGUCAGGUUCCACUUGAGACCUCUCAACUAAUCGAGUCAGGUAAGAUAAAUGGCAUCAUUAUAUAUAGAUUUAUAUAUAAUUACAUGAAUACAAUAUGCAUAUACAUUCACACGCGCGUGCAUGUUUGUGUAUAUAGAGAGAAAGAGAGAGAGAGAGACAUUGGCCAUUGUUGACCUGGACGACAGUCGGUCAAUUGGGGUCUUUCAGUGAAUGCCGAGGCAAAUUUAAGAGAGAAUGAAAAAAAUAAUUUAAAAUUAUUUUUUUAUUUUAAUUAAAAUUUAAUUUUUAAUUUUUAAAAAUUUAUUUCAAAUUAUAAUUUUUAAUUUUUUAAUUUUUUAUGAUAUUUUUUAAAAAAAUUAAUUCGAAAAGC
rnacentral:lncRNA from 1 species